UACGAAGAGGGCUAGCGUUGUUCGGAAUCACUGGGCGUAAAGCGCACGUAGGCGGAUCUUUAAGUCAGGGGUGAAAUCCCGAGGCUCAACCUCGGAACUGCCUUUGAUACUGGGGAUCUCGAGUCCGGGAGAGGUGAGUGGAACUGCGAGCGUAGAGGUGAAAUUCGUAGAUAUUCGCAAGAACACCAGUGGCGAAGGCGGCUCACUGGCCCGGAACUGACGCUGAGGUGCGAAAGCGUGGGGAGCAAACAGG
rnacentral:rRNA from 1 species